CCUACGGGAGGCAGCAGUGGGGAAUAUUGGGCAAUGGGCGUAAGCCUGACCCAGCAACGCCGCGUGCAGGAAGACGGCUCUCUGGUUGUUAACCUCCUUUGUUAGGGAAGAGUAGUAGACGGUACCUGACGAAUAAGCCAUGGCUAAUUACGUGCCAGUAGCCGUGGGAAUACGUAGGUUGCAGGCGUUGUCCGGAUUUACUGGGUUUAAAGGGUGUGUAGCCGGGUUGACAAGUCAGAUGUGAAAUCCUGCGGCUUAACCGCAGAACUGCGUUGGAAACUGGUUAUCUUGAGUACUGGGGAGGCAGACGGAAUUCGUGGUGUAGCGGUGAAAUGCGUAGAUAUUAGGAAGAACACCGGUGGCGAAGGCAGUAUGCUGGACAGCAACUGACGGUGAGGCGCGAAGGCGUGGGGAGCGAACAGGAUUAGAUACCCCGGUAGUC
rnacentral:rRNA from 1 species